rnacentral:rRNA from 1 species
GAUGAACGCUGGCGGCGUGCCUAAUACAUGCAAGUCGAGCGAAUGGAUUGAGAGCUUGCUCUUAUGAAGUUAGCGGCGGACGGGUGAGUAACACGUGGGUAACCUGCCCAUAAGACUGGGAUAACUCCGGGAAACCGGGGCUAAUACCGGAUAACAUUUUGAACCGCAUGGUUCGAAAUUGAAAGGUGGCUUCGGCUGUCACUUAUGGAUGGACCCGCGUCGCAUUAGCUAGUUGGUGAGGUAACGGCUCACCAAGGCAACGAUGCGUAGCCGACCUGAGAGGGUGAUCGGCCACACUGGGACUGAGACACGGCCCAGACUCCUACGGGAGGCAGCAGUAGGGAAUCUUCCGCAAUGGACGAAAGUCUGACGGAGCAACGCCGCGUGAGUGAUGAAGGCUUUCGGGUCGUAAAACUCUGUUGUUGGGGAAGAACAAGUGCUAGUUGAAUAAGCUGGCACCUUGACGGUACCUAACCAGAAAGCCACGGCUAACUACGUGCCAGCCGCCGCGGUAA